rnacentral:rRNA from 1 species
UCCAGAGGGUGCGAGCGUUAAUCGGAAUUACUGGGCGUAAAGCGCACGUAGGCGGCUUGGUAUGUCGGGUGUGAAAUCCCCGGGCUCAACCUGGGAACUGCAUCCGAAACUGCCUUGCUAGAGUAUGGGAGAGGGAAGUGGAAUUUCCGGUGUAGCGGUGAAAUGCGUAGAUAUCGGAAGGAACAUCAGUGGCGAAGGCGACUUCCUGGACCAAUACUGACGCUCAGGUGCGAAAGCGUGGGGAGCAAACAGG